rnacentral:rRNA from 1 species
AUUGAACGCUGGCGGCAUGCUUUACACAUGCAAGUCGAACGGUAACAGGCCGCAAGGUGCUAACGAGUGGCGAACGGGUGAGUAAUGCAUCGGAACGUGCCCAGUCGUGGGGGAUAACGCAGCGAAAGCUGCGCUAAUACCGCAUACGAUCUAUGGAUGAAAGCGGGGGACCGAAAGGCCUCGCGCGAUUGGAGCGGCCGAUGUCAGAUUAGGUAGUUGGUGGGGUAAAGGCUCACCAAGCCAACGAUCUGUAGCUGGUCUGAGAGGACGACCAGCCACACUGGGACUGAGACACGGCCCAGACUCCUACGGGAGGCAGCAGUGGGGAAUUUUGGACAAUGGGCGCAAGCCUGAUCCAGCAAUGCCGCGUGCAGGAAGAAGGCCUUCGGGUUGUAAACUGCUUUUGUACGGAACGAAAAGGCUCUGGUUAAUACCUGGGGCUCAUGACGGUACCGUAAGAAUAAGCACCGGCUAACUACGUGCCAGCCGCCGCUGUAAUAC